GCCAGUGGUGUAGUGGUUUGAGUGCUUAACUGUGACUCUAGAGACCAGGGUUCGACUCCCCAUUCGGCC